rnacentral:rRNA from 1 species
UACGGGGGGAGCAAGCGUUGUUCGGAUUUACUGGGCGUAAAGGGCGCGUAGGCGGCGCAACAAGUCACUUGUGAAAUCUCCGGGCUUAACCCGGAGCGGCCAAGUGAUACUGUCGUGCUAGAGUGCGGAAGGGGCAACUGGAAUUCUCGGUGUAGCGGUGAAAUGCGUAGAUAUCGAGAGGAACACCUGCGGCGAAGGCGGGUUGCUGGGCCGACACUGACGCUGAGGCGCGAAAGCUAGGGGAGCGAACGGGAUUAGAAACCCCCGUAGUCC